CCUACGGGGGGCAGCAGUGGGGGAUAUUGGACAAUGGGGGAAACCCUGAUGCAGCGACGCCGCGUGGGUGAAGCAGUAUUUCGGUACGUAAAGCUCUGUCAGCAGGGAAGAAAAUGACGGUACCUGACUAAGAAGCCCCGGCUAACUACGUGCCAGCAGCCGCGGUAAUACGUAGGGGGCAAGCGUUAUCCGGAUUUACUGGGUGUAAAGGGAGCGUAGACGGCGGUGCAAGUCUGGAGUGAAAUGCCGGGGCCCAACCCCGGGACUGCUCUGGAAACUGUGAAGCUGGAGUGCAGGAGGGGCAAGCGGAAGUCCUGGUGUAGCGGUGAAAUGCGUAGAUAUCAGGAGGAACACCGGCGGCGAAGGCGGCUUACUGGACUGUAACUGACGUUGAGGCCCGAAGGCGUGCGGAGCAAACAGGAUUAGAUACCCUUGUAGUC
rnacentral:rRNA from 1 species